AACACAUGAUGACAAACAGUUUCGGUCCCAGAUGAUCACCUGAUUAUU
rnacentral:snoRNA from 1 species